rnacentral:rRNA from 1 species
UACGGAGGAUGCAAGCGUUAUCCGGAAUGAUUGGGCGUAAAGCGUCCGCAGGUGGUAUUUCAAGUCUGCUGUCAAAGAGUUUGGCUUAACCAAAUAAAGGCAGUGGAAACUGAAAAACUAGAGUGCGUUCGGGGUAGAGGGAAUUCCUGGUGUAGCGGUGAAAUGCGUAGAGAUCAGGAAGAACACCGGUGGCGAAAGCGCUCUACUGGGCCUGCACUGACACUGAGGGACGAAAGCUAGGGGAGCGAAUGGC